CCCUACGGGGGGCAGCAGUGGGGGAUAUUGCACAAUGGAGGAAACUCUGAUGCAGCGACGCCGCGUGAGGGAAGACGGUCUUCGGAUUGUAAACCUCUGUCUUUGGGGAAGAAAAUGACGGUACCCAAAGAGGAAGCUCCGGCUAACUACGUGCCAGCAGCCGCGGUAAUACGUAGGGAGCGAGCGUUGUCCGGAAUUACUGGGUGUAAAGGGAGCGUAGGCGGGCGAGUAAGUUGAAUGUUAAAUCUACCGGCUUGACUGGUAGCUUCGUUCAAAACUUUUUGUCUUGAGUGACGUAGAGGCAG
rnacentral:rRNA from 1 species